rnacentral:rRNA from 1 species
CCUACGGGUGGCAGCAGUGGGGAAUAUUGGACAAUGGGCGAAAGCCUGAUCCAGCCAUGCCGCGUGUGUGAAGAAGGCCUUCGGGUUGUAAAGCACUUUCAGUGGGGAAGAAAGCCUUGGGGCUAAUACCCUCGAGGAGGGACAUCACCCACAGAAGAAGCACCGGCUAACUCCGUGCCAGCAGCCGCGGUAAUACGGAGGGUGCGAGCGUUAAUCGGAAUUACUGGGCGUAAAGCGCGCGUAGGCGGUCUGAUAAGCCGGUUGUGAAAGCCCCGGGCUCAACCUGGGAACGGCAUCCGGAACCGUCAGGCUAGAGUGCAGGAGAGGAAGGUAGAAUUCCCGGUGUAGCGGUGAAAUGCGUAGAGAUCGGGAGGAAUACCAGUGGCGAAGGCGGCCUUCUGGACUGACACUGACGCUGAGGUGCGAAAGCGUGGGUAGCAAACAGGAUUAGAUACCCCGGUAGUC